UGUCAUAAGUGGGCAGGACUGAUGCAGUCUAGAAACAGGGUCUCUUCGUGGAAGGUUCUAUGCCAUCAAAUAAGUCUAAAUUUGGGACAGCUAGCUGAUAGACCUGUGCCCCUGGAUAAUUCCAAGAGGCAUUUUGGGAAGUGCAGCUCUUAUAGGAACUAUACUCCCCCAAAUGCACCAUGUCCUGGGGUCCUCCUGUGCAUUUUUUUAAAGGGCAAGCAUAGCAUACAGCAACCUGCCUUUUUAAAAAUACUUGUUUUUCCUUUAAGAUAAACACCCAACAGUGGCAGAAGCAGAGGUAAAGGAGGAGAGGAUUGGGCACCAGUGGUAGCAGUGAAGAAGAAGAGAACCCAGCACUGGUUUCCAGUGCUCUGCUAGGAGCAAAGAGGACUUGUGUAAAGAUCAGCCAUGCUACAACUACUGCCAAGCACGUGGGGGCAAAGCGCACCGAGCAGGGGAUGUGCUGGGGCGAUCGAUCAACCUUUUUUCACCGCACCGUUCCAGAGAGCAGUCCCUACUCCUUCUAUCAACUCCUCUACAAUCAAAUCCGACUGCCAGAGACUACUUUUGCAUCUGAGGCCCACCCACACAGAGAGGAGGCACUGACAUCAAAUUACAUGGUGUGUCAAGCAAGGCCAUGAAACCUUAGGGGUGCUCGCUGUCCACAGAGAUAUAUCCUAACUAGGCUGACCAACUGAGUUGCUAACAGAGAAGUAUAACCUCUUACAUAAGAGCCAUCCCUCUACAUUAGUGAACCUUCGUUUGUUCAAGGUCCCUUCGAGUCUAACAGCCUGACAAUGCUACACAACAGUACCCAAAAGGAAUUCCCAGUAAGUUAAACAGAACUUACAGUAUUCCCAAGUAAGUCUGAUUAGUAAGUCUGAUGCCAAGUAAGUCGG